rnacentral:rRNA from 1 species
AGUGAACGCUGGCGGCAGGCCUAAUACAUGCAAGUCGAACGGCAGCACAGCAGAGCUUGCUCUGUGGGUGGCGAGUGGCGGACGGGUGAGGAAUACAUGGGAAUCUGCCCAGUCGUGGGGGAUAACGUAUGGAAACGUACGCUAAUACCGCAUGCGCCCUACGGGGGAAAGCCGGGGACCGCAAGGCCUGGCGCGAUUGGAUGAGCCCAUGUUCGAUUAGCUAGUUGGCGGGGUAAAGGCCCACCAAGGCGACGAUCGAUAGCUGGUCUGAGAGGAUGAUCAGCCACACUGGAACUGAGACACGGUCCAGACUCCUACGGGAGGCAGCAGUAGGGAAUAUUGGACAAUGGGGGCAACCCUGAUCCAGCCAUGCCGCGUGAGUGAAGAAGGCCCUCGGGUUGUAAAGCUCUUUUGUCCGGAAAGAAAGCAAUCGGUUAAUACCCGGUUGUCCUGACGGUACCGGAAGAAUAAGCACCGGCUAACUUCGUGCC